CGCGCGGCGGCGGCGGCGGGGCUCGGUGGCGGGCCGGGCCGGGCCGGGUCGGCCGGCGGCGACGCGCUCGCCCGGGGCCUCGGGAGCGGCCUGUAGCCCGAGGGGGAGCUGGCGUCGCACCGGGGGGUGGAGGGCUGUUGGGUGAGGCGGCAGCGGCGGCCCCUGCGCUGCCCCCCACCCCUCCCGCGUCCCGGUAGGUGGGCGGGAGGGGGGAGAGGCCUUUCCGAGCCGCCCGAGGGGAAAAUCCCGUGUAGGCUCUCCGGUUCCGCUUCCCGGUGUUGCUGGGGGAGGGGGCUCUGGCGUGGUAAGUUCUUGCCGUUUUAAACCUGGCAGUUGUCCGGAGGCUGAAGGUGUCUGAGGUGGGCCCGAGGCCACCGUGUUAAUCCCACUCGUGUAUACAAAAGUACAUGGGAUGCAUAAAGCCUAACGCAACGAUCCUGUGAGCGCUCCCUUUGCCACUGUGAUCGCCACGCUGGCCUGUGCUGGCAAGGGCUGCCGUUAGGUGUUUGUUGCUAAUGAGUGCCUACCUCGUCAUCCCCUUCUGAUAGCGAUAGAGGGCCGGGAAAGAUGGUGGUACAGUUUGAGAAAAAUACUCCAUCUAAACAGCAACAAAAAUAAAGGUGAUUGAUGAGAUGACAUCAACAGUUUCUCAUGGGAACCAGUAUCACUCUGGAAAGAUGCUCACAUUUGUAUGCUUGUCUUUCGACUAUGAGACAGACUCCUUAACCCUUCAUUUUUUUUCCCAAACGUCACUGGUUGGAAUGAUUUGAUACAGGGAGAGAACACUUUAUUUCCUUUAGAGGCUUAAGGUUCAGCCAGAGCCAUUAGUCUGCUGUUCACAUACUUUCCGAAAGCUGUCAGAAAAGGAGCUCGCUCCUGGGGUUGCAUUUUUUAUUGUGCUGUUCUUUCCUUUGCAUUCUCACGUCUUCAUCUUAAGUAAGGCCUAAGGUGUCAGCCUGCUUUCCAGGCAAGUCCAGUUUUGCUUCCUUGUUGACUUGUUUUCAUGUUUCCAAACCUAGCUGGGAAUUUUUGAGUGGCAGAUGUGUUUCUGGCGUUUUGGAGCACAUUUGCACUCCUCUGUCUGAGCCUUUUGGUUAAAUGCUUGCCGUGUGCAGUGUUUUAAGCUUUCUGGUGUUUUGCUUGGGCCUUCUCUUUGGCUUUUUCCCUCUGUGUUUUUGGGUUUGGUUUUUUUUUUGAACCGCAAAGCUUCAAAACAAAUUUAUCUUAGUAGGAUGCCCAUAGCUGCUUCUGUCUAAAAGAAAGAAGAUUAUUCGCUGGCUUCUCGCAAUGCCCGUGUAGUCAAAAAACACCAAAGCAAAACCCAAACCCCACGCAUCUGUGUGAUGUAAAUAUAUUCAAUACCAAAGAGAUACACAGAAUUUUUUACAGACUGUUAGAAUCCGUUUGUAAAUGUUGCAAAGCCUGGUCAGUCUAGUCAGAACUGAGUAAUAAUUUCAAUGAAUAAUCUCAUUUCUGUUGGUGACUUGAGACCUUCAAGUAAUAGAAAUGAGCCUACAAGAACAUGUAAUAGCACAAAAUGCAAGAUACUACAUGUAUGGAUUAGUUAAGUAUUUAUAGUAUAAAUCCAGGAACCCUCCAGCAGAGUAAUGGGAAAAUACCUGGGUUUAUUAGUCAAGGAUGAAAGGAAUCUGCCAAUUUAACGCAGUUGUGAAAAAACAAAUGUAACUGUGGUGUGCAUGCAGUCAAACUUCUGGGUGACUAGUGAGACAUUACUGUGUCCAGUUCUGAUAAACCGUGGCCAGGAAAGACAAACUUGUACAGAAAUACACCCAGGAGGGUUACUGGAAAAGAACAAAGCUUAUCUACAAGAGCACGCUAGGAAUAUUUGUCUGAUUAACCCAGGAAAAGCAAAUGCAGAGGAGGGUUAUGAGUAACCAGUAAGGCAGGGUAGAGUCAAGCUCAAGCGAGUAGGCAUUUAAGCUAAUGAACAAUAUUGGUAGAAGAGCAUGUAUCUAAACUGAUUAUACUCUAGAUAGAAAACGAAGAGCUAGCUCAGAGGACUGAGGGUUUCACCUUCUGUUAAGAACAGUGAGAGGCGAACAUGUCUAACAGGCUUUAAAAUGUAUGUCGCUUCAGAACAGGAAGAUGAUGUGCGAUCACACAAAAUAGAUUUAAGUGAUCUGUGUUGAAAGGAGGAGAUUUGGGCCUCCCUUCUUACUCAUCCUGAGACUGGAACAAUUUCCUGAUGUUCAAUACUUCUCAGAAAGAAGCUGUCGACUGCUGCUCCGUGGUGAGGAUGAUGAUGAGAGUGAGAAGGCAAUGGUUCAGAAAGAGGUAACAGGAACGCUCCCACUGGAAAGGUUUACACCAGGUGUUCAUUCUCAUAGAUUACUGAGUUUGAUGGGCAGCAAAGCGUUUUUUUCACUUAAUGAUGGUGGGGUGAUGUGUUCCCGGAAUAAAGAAACAUGUAUAAAACUGAAGUAUAGAGGGGCAGUAUAUAGAGCAUGGAGGGUGGAAAAGGCAGGAUGGUCAACUGGAGGAGAUGCUGGAUUCCUUGAAUGGAUGACUGAUCCCAAGGAUCUAUCUCAGACACUUCGCUUGCGAGGCUGAACACCUUACCAUUGCCCUGUUUUUCUAGCCUUCACCCUCAGCUGAUUUUGAUUCAUCUGGGGAGAAUGACAAUGUUGAAAAUUCAGCUAAUAGGCGCUGGAGGCUCAGCCCUAAAAACAAAUACAGUAUCAGUUAUGUGGGGUUAUUUAUAGUGAGGUGGAGAACAUGGGGCCGUUUAGGUGCUGCCAGUUUUCUUUUAUGCAUGUUGCUUACACUUCUGCUAUUCUUCACCAAACAGGGAGGCAGGGGAAAAGUAGUACAUUUCGGGAGAAGAGAAACUUCCUGCCAGAAAAGAUUGAACUGGGCAAGGCUUGCCAGGCAAAUAUCUCAGCCCACAGCAUGCUUUCCCAGUGUGUCUUCCUUUGCAGCUUCUCACAGGACACUCGGGAGUCAUCUAGUCCCUCUGUGCUGUACAGCUGGGUUUUUGCUGGCUUCCUAGGAUAUAGAAGCUUCAGUUUUAUUGCUCACUUCUCAAGUCUUUUUAUCUCUUAUAUCGAACUAUCUUAUUUCAAACUUCAGCAGCCUGUGGCUAACCACACUUUUAUGAUAGGCUGGAGUUUCUCAAUAAAUACUGAAUUUUUAUCUUAUGCAGAAACCAACAUACUGUUUCAUGUGGGUUUUGCUAGCUAUUGUAGCCUCUGACUACAUGUUAGGGUGUGUGUAUGAAAAAGGAACAAGGCUUCUAACAUCUAUUUUCAUUCCAAAGCCAGGGUUUGCUAAUUCUUCAGUAGUAACAGUAUCAGUGGCAAGAUGUAAACUGGAGCAAUACGAAAAAUGGGGAAAACCAUAGCCCCCUCCCUUUGAGAGCUGAUGAUGGUCUCCUGACACUGAAGCACAAGAGAACGUGUGAAAUAGAGCCUGUCUACUCUGCAAAUUGUUCUAGUGUAUAUUUGGUUUGCAUGGUCAAGAGCUCUUUUAAGUUCCUGUUAGUAAGAACAACUGUAAUUUCCUGUCCUUGCUUACUGUCAUAUUUUUACAUUCAGGCUGUCGAUGAAUGCAGUGCUGUCAUCACAUGGAUUGCUUCUAACCAUGUGUCAUUACAGUGUAGCCAGCGUUAAGGAUCAAAAUUGUGUUUAGCCUUUAAUAUUUCUUGCUAAAUUAAUUAUCUUGUUAGAACUGUCCAUAAAGUUGUUAUCAAAUUCAGGAUGCAACUAACUGGAGUGCCCUGUGCCUAGCAUUUUCAGGUGAUCGCACUGUUAGUUUCCCUUUCAUCCCAGCAGUAAUAUUGUCCCUUUUUUUUUACUGACUGCAAAAUUGUAGGUGUUUGACAGGUUUGUUCAUGGAAACAGCAGCUUUCUAGAGGAGAGCAGGAGCCGUCUGAGUGCACUUGUAAAGGGAAAGGAAGUUGGACCUCCUCUGUCCUAUCUGGCAGCGGUCGGGUGGCAGCUCCAAUUGCCCAAGAGUUCGACCAGUGGCAGCAAGCGCCGUCUCCAGCCUGGUGGAGGGCAUGGAGUGGGAUUUAACUUACUGCACUGGAAGAGCAUGUUAUGGAAGCUAGGUUUCAUUAACUUCACUGCUUGUAGGCCAGUUUGGGUUUGCUUUUGUUCUUAAGGAAAUCUAAGUGCUUGUUUUUGAAGGUAUAGUAGGUCUGCUUUUGUUUUGUAGUGGUGAAGCCUAGUGUGAGCUCUGAGUGAGAAGACUUUUGCGUCUGUGUGGAACCGUACUGAAGUCAGGGGUGCUGUGUGCAAAGGUGAGAUAGCAGUUCUCCAUAGACAUUGUAAGAUCAGAGCCAAAUUUGCAGUGAUGAAUUGCAGUCAUCGGUGUCAGCAUUAGUUGGGGUUAAGAGUUCUCUAAGCUUAGGGAGUUGUCCGUGUACCAUCCCGGGCUUAGCAGCCUAAGCUGGUAAACUAGGGUGCAUGGGGACUUGAAGCUCAGCUGAUCCACCAAGUGUAGGAAGUGUGACGGUGAUCAGCAUUGCCGUGCUUUAGUUCUGGUACCUGGUUUUGAGAAGGCAAUUCACAAAGCUGAAGUAAGCGCUAGGAAAUUCUUGGUAAAAUUGAGACUUUAGCACUUGGAUUCCCAGAAGUCGAGUGUGCUGAGCGGGGAGAUCUUAAACCAGCUGAUUGGAAAUGUUGCGUGGGCAGCUCUUUGCUCCUCAGUUUAAGUUGCUUAUAGCCUUCAUUUAAACAUAUUUAGAGUCAGGGAGCCAAAAUCUGAAAUGGUCCCUUGUACUUUCUGCAACUCUGUAGGGGUGUAAGCAGACCCUGCCUGCUUGCUGGGUUAGCUCCCCCACUCUGCCCAGACCCACAUCGCCUUUUUCCCCCUUACAGCUGUGCUGGGCCAUUUCAGCUCACUGAAUUUGUAGAAAGUGAAUCCAGACUAGAAAUGCAAAUUAUUUUAUAAUUGCUAGCUGCCAGGGACUCAACCGUGAAAGAGGAACAGAGUUAAUGCCGUCCUCAGCUUGAAACAGUUUAAACCCCCACCUAUUGCUUCCCAGGAGACUGUUUUGUGUUGUGAAGGAAAACAAACUAGAUCACAUUCCCGCAGAACAAGAUUCAAUUAAUGAGUUUUACCUUACAACUAGAGAGGACAGGUGUGAACACAAUUACUGUAGCUCCACCAAUAGAUACUCAUUAAAUUGCCUUACCUGCCACUUUCAAUUGUGUGCUUCAGUCCCCAGGGUUUGGGUUUUUUUGUUUUUUUACAGUUUGAAAGAGAUGGAGACAAUAGGAGUAGGCAUACCAAAGUCUUCUCGCAGUCAUAAUUUAAUUUUCUAACCAGAAAGGAACAUUAAGGCUUCAGUCCCAUGGGUUUAUUUCCGAGGAUGGCCAGUUUGGUAGUGCUGCACAUUGGGACAGCUUUCUGUUGUUAUCAUCUCAUUAAUGUUAUUUCCUGACAUUGCAGAUUAACUGUUCAAAGGAAGGGGAUCACUUGUUGAGGGGUAGGACUGAGGUUUUUUUUAACUACUUUAUGCAGUCAGAUAGCCAUCCCUGUCACGUAAUAAGGUCGUUGUGUUUAACUGAAGAUGGUGGUUAAAUUUAAAAAGAAUAAUUGCUCCCGGCCCCUCUUUUUAUUAAGAGUGAAAAUUUGAUCGAACCAUUCCCCAAAGCACCAAGAAAUCUAAGUGAAAAUAGUAUGAUUUAGCUUGUGACCUGAUUUUUAUUGGUUUUAGUGGAGUUUAGGUGGACUUCUGCUAAUGUAUUAUGGCAUUUCACAACAAAGUUUUCUUUGCUUCCCAUAAAAGCAAACGGGAAACCCUGGUGAUGUUAUUAAUUUUAAUGAAAAACUUCCAUUGCAUAUCUGAGUUUUGUAAGAAAUACCCAUCUGCCAAUAAAGUUAAGGUAAAUAGCUGUCGUUCAGAUGUAGGUUCAAAACAGGGGAAGUCAGUUUCAGGAUAUAAAAAAACACAGUAAAAUAAACUAAAACCGGCUAAUUUAUUGUUCCAUUUGACUCUUUCUUUCUCCUUACGAUGUUCAAAAAUAAAGCAAUUCAAUCACAAGACUUAAGAGAAAGUGAAGAUAAUGAUAGUCUGUUUUUAUUAAGGUACAAAAGUCUUGCAAUAUCUGUCACAAGUCACAUAGCCAUUUUUUUUCUGAGUCAGACUUGAAAGGAAAUAAGUUUAACUCCUCCAUCUUAAUAACCAGAAUAUAAGCAUCAGGGACUUGUAUUUCACAAGCAUUAGAUUUCAUAGGUGUCAAUAAAAAUUUAGUGUUACAGUAAUAUUUUCUUUUUACAUGGUUAUUUUGAGCAAAAUACUCAUAACUGAAUGAAGUCGUAAGACGCCUUAAUUGCUAUGAGUUACACUGUAAAUUAAAAUAAGAUUUCCAAUACACUUUUCACAUGUUUAUUUCGUAUAUAUGCCUUUUCUUAGAAGCGGGGGCAGUUAAUCUUCCUCUCGUGUAAUCAAAUCAUAACUUAGAUCAGUUCAAUUCAGUACGUGUCCUAAAACUGAGUAGGUCAUUUUGGUGCAUGUCUGAAUAGACGCAUUUGUUCUGGAUGUUUGGAUUUACAUCAUCUGUUCUAGGCAGUGAAGCUGAUUGCUCCACCGAGUAUCCAGAUCAAACAGCGAAAGACCCCUGAAAGAUCCCUGAAGAGAGGCAGGUUUCAAGGGCAGACCACAGAGAGGUAGGUUUUAAGGGGGCUGGACACUGCCUGGGGGACAUGAGAUUCCCCGAAAAAGACUCAGCAGCCAAUUUGUCAGCAAACGCUGACCCCAUCUCCAUCCGCAAAUAGCUGGGCAAGCGUGCCCAGCUCAAGCAUGGGCCCAGACUCCCUCCCCCAGUGAAUGCACAGAUGUAGAUGGGAGGUAAUCUGGGGAUGUGGGUGUGGGGAGGCAGGUCUCACCUGUAGAGUAACUUGUCUCUUUCUACCUGAAGGUCGUCUUCUGGAGUUCCCACUUCUGGGAGCUUGUUGAGCCCAGCCUCUAAUUAGCGGAACAGGAAGUUUUAAUUAAAUGCUUCAGAAUCAACAGUUUUAUGUAUGAUCUUUAUCAACAUAGGAGUUGCUAACCACUGGCCCUCAAAGAUAAACAUUAAAGGCCUGAAAAUUAUGAGGGUUUGUGUCCCAACAUUGACUAUUGGAUUUGCCUUUUAGUCUUUAGAUAUUGUUGCUUCUUUUUGCUUCUUCCUCAUACAUUAAACAUUUGGGGAUUUUUAACAGAAGCUAGGAGUCUCAUGUUCUUGAUUCCAGUAGCUGGUGCUUUAGGAAGACCCAAUAUCAUAAAUUUGUGAUAAAAUUGGCAGUUUUGGCAACAGUGACUACGGGUGGAGUAAAAAUAGCUCAGUAAUCAUUCUGAGCCUGGAGAAAAGAUUCAUGCAAGGGAAGACCAAAAAGGAACUGAGUUUGUGAGGUGUACAGAGCUCUUAUACUCUUCUUUAGGUCUUCAGUGCUGUACAUGAAUGGAACCCUGUGACUACUGCUUUCGAGCGAACUUUCAGAGCUGUGUUGUAGUGGGAGGCCUAUCCUACAAGCACAAGAUAUGCAUAUGCUACUUUAAAGAAGAACCACAGCUCAUUUGCUUGAGGAAAAUAACACAAAGAAUUGACUCUAGCCUCUCUUUGCAUUUCCUCUUGGGACUUCAGUGAGCGCUGAUACAGUUGCAGGUAGAUUUCUUGCAAAACAAUUUGGGAGCAGCUCGGAACACACCAAACAAAUCCAUAAUACUAGAUUUUCCAGAAUUAUUCAGGAGCUUUCAUAUAGAUCUGGUCCCACUGCACAGAGCUCAACUUUAUCAGGAUAGCUUUUCUGGGGCAGAUUCCAACCAGAUUUCCUCAUGGGUUUGGGAUGAAUGUAGAGGGCACAUUAGAUGGCUGAUCAAUCUGCCAGAACUGCUCCAUGACAGUCUUCUCAAGGUGGUCAUUGUCUGCUCGUUUCUUUCUUCUUUCUGGUUCUCCUGUCGUCUUCCAAGGCAAUAUUUUUCUCACACGUGGAUCUCUUCCAGUUAUUCAGCAAUGGGGGAAAAAAAAUACAUAACACUGUAUUAAGGAAAGAGCUUGAUGCAGCAGUGCAGCAAGGGGGUUAUCUCUUGGUCAUUUUUUUCAUGGUGUUGUAAUUCUUGGUUCUACAUUUGCUGCAAACUUCUCUUCCUCAUGUGGCUUCUUCUUGGCUUCCUUCUCUUUUUAAUGUACUGUCCUCACAACUCCUCUUCCCCAAGGCCAUGCUUUCUUAAUGUAUGUUAGCUCUGACAGGGAAACUAGAUGACCAAAUUCCUAUUCUUCCCCCUAGCUACUCACCAUAUCAUCCCCCCGGUCUCUCAUCCAGUUAGUACAGAGUCUUUAGGCUCCAACACACUACUGCUCCUCUUUUUUCAGUCACUGCCUGCGGGGCUAUUGCUGCAGUUUGAGGACUUGUAGGAAGGAAGUAGCACUAUUUUGGUUUUUUAUUGUGAUUGCAUUUCUGUGAUUGGUAUUUUUUACCUCUUGGUACAAAAAACCACACCAACGCGUUGAUUAGAAGUUCAGCAUUUGCAAAUUCUUUGGCUGUAUCACAUCCUGAUAUCACAGCCCUAUAAACAUUGACUGGUUGGUAUAGCUCUCGGUUCCUGAAAUCACCCAUGAAGGGGGGUUACUUCCACCCCUGCAGAGGGACAGCACUGAAGCGUCUUAGAAAUGUCAGGAUCACUGCUAUGAGUAGCUACAACUGAAACAUACUGGAAUUUCUUUAGAGCCACAGAAAAAAUAGGCUGUUGAGUGGAUUUCAAGAGAUCACAUAGGUCAUGCUCUCCUGUGAGGCAGUCUGAGUGCAUCAGGGUCAGUCCUGAUGGACAUCUGCACAGCUGCUUCCUAAAGACCUCAUGCGGUGGAUGGGCCAUGACGGCCCUAAGCAACCUAUUCCCGCACGUUGCUGUCUGCACCGUGUUAGUCUGAGUCAAGUUAGUCAACUUGAAUCGCCGUUUCUGUAGUUUAACCCCGUUACACCUUGUUCCGUUCACGAUAAUUGUGAAGCUGCGUGUCCCCUUUUCAGCAGACUUUUAGGAGCCUUAAUAAAAAAUCAGAUUUUCCCCUCGGUCUUCUCCAGGAUAAAAGCCCCAUGGGCAAUACUGUCUAGACCUCUGAUCAAAUUUGCAUCUUCACUGGCGUUUUCUGACUAGAGUGUCCUUUUCCUGAAGCAGAGCACCCCGGACUGGACACAGUACCUCAGCUGAGGCCUUCCCAGAGCUGAGUAGAUAGGACUCACUCACCUUCUUGGGAGGAUGUACUCUUGCAUCAAAGCUACUGAUGAUUGCUUACAAAUCGAAUUCCUGAUUGACAUCUAAGAAAAGAAGAUCCUGAAAAAGUCCAGAAUCGUGUCUACCGCUGCCUUUGGAUAAAGAUGCAAGAGUCCUGUGUAAAUACACGGAGGCCACAGAGACCUAUGGGAGCCCCGUGGGAGACCCACCCAGAGAGCGAAGACCCGGGACCACGGUAUUCGGACCCCCGCCCUCGCUCCAAAUCUGCUGGUUCGGGGCCUGGAGCCAUGCAGCGGUGCCUGCGCCGUGCUAAGGGGGUAAGUGGGUUUGUGGAGGUCUGGUGCCGCACGGGCACGGUGCUUUUCCGUCGGGCUUCCCGCUGGUCCAGGCGCCCGUCGGCGCUCCUCACGCCAGUGGGACGCAAGGAUGCCUGAAGGCAGGGAGAAGUCUGCGGGCACUACCUGCCGGAGGCCGUCCAGCUCAUCCGUUGCUUUAUGUCAGUCAUUCCUUUAAGUUAAAAACAUUUUAAUGGGCCAUUCUCGGUAGUUUCAGCUGGGAAGGCAUCAGAUAAUCUGCAAGCGGCAGAUAACCUGGAGAGCGCAUAAGUAUCCAGGGAGGAACUGUGGGAAGCGGUGGUCCAGAGAGAUCGUCACGUGUGUAGCACCCAGCAAAUGAGAUCUGCUUGUUGGAUGAGAGCUGGCAGUAAAUCGAUGCAAAUUUGAGCUGGGAGAGCACAGGGUAAGGGUCAUUUCUUUCCACGCAGCCCUGGUGUGGAGGGGGUCUCCUGCAGUACCACCCCGCCGCUCUUGGCCUUCAGUGCCUACAUCACCUGGGAAGGGGGUUCAGGAGCCCCUGAGCCUCUCAGGUGUUUGAAAAACCUUAUCCUAUAUAGCUUUUUGGCUACAGUCUCUAAUAGGAUACAGCAGGGAAUUUGUGUCCCUGAAGUAAUUUAGAAGUUGUUUGGAACAAAAACCAGAAAAUAACAAUUUAGGUCUCCAGAAUAAUUCUUUACGAGACAAAAUAGCUGCAGUUUAACGUGGGAGGAAGAGAAACCAAGCCAGUAGUAGGUCCAGAGCAGCCACGAACGAAUGUGCUACGUGUCAGGUGGUGAUAUAUCCAGAACAGCACUAGACCUGUAUGUCUCCACUGUGGUGUAGGUAUGGCUGCAGUUCAUUUAGGGCUAACUGCACGUGUGGGAUGCAGCCUGGUGUGUGUGUGUCCCCGGGGGGGAUAAAUACGUCCCCCCACUCCGCUCCCCGCAGAGCUAUACUCAGUGGGUACCGGAGCUCCAUCUCGUUUGAAAGUGAGGUGGGUGCCUAUGUAUGUUAGCUGUGGCUAUAUGUGUAACCACUGUGCUGGCAUGCCCCAUGCCUGCUGUAGAGAAAAUAACAUUUCUAUCAGAUAACUUUGUAUUUUUUUUUUACACAGAGGGAGGUAUGAGCAGCAAAAGAUACUGGUCACUGUGGCCCUGAAAUAUUCUCUUAACCAAAGUCGUCAGCCACCGUAUCUCUAGUUAAGGACUAGCUUUUCAUAAAAUACUCUUCCAAGCAAAGUUUUGAAAUUAUUAAAACCGUGCUGGAAAAAAAAUUGGUGUUGUAUUUUAAAAAGUGGUAAUUCAAUUUGCAUAUAUUAUCUAAGUACCUCUGUGUGUGUGUACACGUAACUGUAUUCUUUCCCUGUGUGUGUGUCUGUAUGUAAACAGGCUCAAACCCCACUGAGUUUUCUUUAAAGCCAGUCGUGAUCAAGAAUUUUUUAGAGAGUGGUUAAUUCUUGCCUGUUUGAGCAGGAAAUAAUAUUUCCUUAUGUUCUAAAUGAGAUAGGUCUCCAGAUAAAAAUGAUGAUAAUAUAGUUAACACACACAAAACCCCUUAUUUACAAAGAAAAGACAAAGCAGCGUGUUUUGAUUCAACAGACUAUUUACAACUCUCUUUGCACUUUUUUAUUAUUUCCUUUGUUUUGGCAUUUUAGCUAGUGCCUAAGAAAUGGAUUGUCUCUGAUGCUGAUAUAUUGUUACACAGCCAUUUGCUUAGAGAAAGAAACAUCUAUUUAACUACAUGUAAAGGAAAUUAAAGAGCAAGAACAGUCUUAGCUGCAGUAUUUUCCAUAGCCUUGAAAACCUUCAGCCGGAGUCUCAGCUACUAUAAAUUGGCAUAAACUCCAAUAUCUUAAAACUGCGUUGGUUUAUGUGACCCGAGGAGAUGACCUCUGGGAUUUGUGGGACCACUGUAUAAAUACCAGAGCUUUCAACCUGCCAGGGUCAAAAUAUAUAAUGCUUUUGGUCCAGUCCUGGCUCCAUGCUUAUGUGUCACGCCUUGAUUUCAGCAGCAGAGGGGAGAAGGGAGCCUUCAGCAGCUCUGCGCUUCUCCCCAGCAAAACCCCUACCAGGGGGUUGCCAUUUUCAUCUUGCAUAUGAGGAAACUGAUGAAGAGAGCAGCAGUCUCCUUACUGCCGUGCUAAAAAAAAAUAUAA